GGCCCUUUGGUCAAGCGGCUAAGACAUCGCCCUCUCACGGCGAAAACGGGGGUUCGAUUCCCCCAGGGGUCA
rnacentral:tRNA from 1 species